rnacentral:rRNA from 1 species
AUUGAACGCUGGCGGCAGGCCUAACACAUGCAAGUCGAACGCGUGGCGGACGGGUGAGUAAUGUCUGGGCAACUGCCCGAUGGAGGGGGAUAACUACUGGAAACGGUAGCUAAUACCGCAUACCAUCGGAUGUGCCCAGAUGGGAUUAGCUAGUAGGUGGGGUAAUGGCUCACCUAGGCGACGAUCCCUAGCUGGUCUGAGAGGAUGACCAGCCACACUGGAACUUAGACACGGUCCAGACUCCGACGGUAGGCAGCAGUGGGGAAUAUUGCACAAUGGGCGCAAGCCUGAUGCAGCCAUGCCGCGUGUAUGAAGAAGGCCUUCGGGUUGUAAAGUACUUUCAGCGAGGAGGCGUUACUCGCAGAAGAAGCACCGGCUAACUCCGUGCCAGCAGCCGCGGUAAUUC